UACGUAGGGUGCGAGCGUUGUCCGGAAUUAUUGGGCGUAAAGAGCUCGUAGGCGGUGUGUCGCGUCGGCCGUGAAAACCUGCAGCUUAACUGUGGGCUUGCGGUCGAUACGGGCAUCACUGGAGUUCGGCAGGGGAGACUGGAAUUCCUGGUGUAGCGGUGAAAUGCGCAGAUAUCAGGAGGAACACCGGAGGCGAAGGCGGCAAGCUGGAUAGGCACUGACACUCAACUGCGAAAGCGUGGGGAGCAAACAGG
rnacentral:rRNA from 1 species